UGUCGGACUCUGACCCAGACUCAGUCCAACACACCCACCACCUCACAUGACUUUGUCCUGCACCUGUACCACCUGUGUUACAGACUGUGGACCCACAAUAGCCUACUGAAGACUUGAGGUUGGCCCGGAGGUCCAUGGAGACUUUGUGCUUUGAGCCCAGCAGCGAGCGAAGAAUGGCGUCAGCAGACACACGAACGCGCCGAAGACUAGGCCUCUUGAAUUUCCCCCUGAGGUCCAACACCUUUAUGUUCAGGAUCUCCUGUUCCAAUUCCUCCUUGGCCUUUGCAACCAUGAGACUCUGCAUGAAUAUGAUGUCAUGUAAAUGUCACCGUGUAAUACAGAAUGCCCUUACAUUGCUCUUGUCGAGCAAAACCAGCACAGCAAGCUUGUGUUGUUUUAACAUGCAAAUACAAACGUUCAGUUCUCAGAGCACACGCUCUUGAUCAGCAUUAUGCAGCGUAGUACAGUUCAACAGAAUGUGGCCACUGCUGCCCUCCUGUGGUCAAACAUUAUGUAAUACAUUAUCAAGAAAUGAGGGUGAAUGAUUCUGCUGACCUUGAGCAUCAGCUUCCUCGAGGCUGAGAUCUUGGGUUUCCUCUGGAUGGAGAACAUAAUUCAGGACAUGAAUCCUAACUGA